rnacentral:tRNA from 1 species
AAAUUUUAGUUUAUAAAAAAUAAUUUAUUUACAUUAAAUAGAAUUAAUUUA